UGAAGCUGCUUUGACUCAAUCUGUAUUGUAUAAAGCGCUAUACAAAUAAAGGUAAAUUGACUUGACUUGUUAUUUGUUUAGCGCACUCCUGAACUCACA